AAAGAAAACAACUAGAACCUUCUCCUCUUCCUGCUCAUCCUUUCUCAUCCUCUCCAUUUCCACAUUUUUUUUAUUUUUAUUUUUGCUAUAUAAUGUUUGCUUCUCUCUCUAGAAUCUGCAGGUUGAGAUCUGCAAUCAGAUGCUUCAAAUAUCUUUGAUUCCAGAUUUGGUGAUUUCAACUGGGUUGGCAAUAGAUUUUAGUGGGGUUUCCUCGUGAAAUUGGAAUUCUUAAUUUGGUUAGAGACCUGGGAUUGAGCAAGUUUGAUUCUUCUCUUUCGUGGUUGGUUCUUCUUUUUCGAGUCCAAGGAAUGUCGCUGUUGCUAAAAGGAGAUUCUAUCCAGAUUCGUGAGGUGUGGAAUAACAAUCUUGAAGAAGAAUUUGCUCUUCUCCGUGAAAUUGUUGAUGAUUAUCCAUACAUAGCUAUGGACACAGAAUUCCCGGGCAUUGUGUUGCGCUCUGUGGGCAAUUUUAAGAAUAGCAAUGACUAUCAUUAUCAAACCUUGAAGGAUAAUGUUGAUAUGUUGAAGUUAAUUCAAUUGGGUCUUACGCUUUCAGACGAGCAAGGGAAUUUACCCACAUUUGGUACUGAUAAGUAUUGCAUUUGGCAGUUCAAUUUUCGAGAAUUCAAUGUGAAUGAGGAUGUUUUUGCAAAUGAUUCAAUCGAACUUUUGCGCCAAAGUGGGAUUGAUUUUAAGAAGAAUAAUGAGAAGGGGAUUGAUGCAAAGAAAUUCGGUGAGCUCUUGAUGUCGUCAGGGAUUGUGUUGAAUGAUAGUGUGCACUGGGUGACUUUCCACAGUGGAUAUGAUUUUGGCUACUUGCUUAAGCUCUUGACAUGCCAGAAUUUGCCUGACACACAAGCUGGAUUCUUUAACUUGAUCAAUAUGUAUUUCCCAACCCUAUAUGAUAUCAAGCAUUUGAUGAAGUUCUGCAAUAGCCUUCACGGAGGAUUGAACAAACUUGCAGAAUUGUUGGAGGUGGAGAGAGUUGGGAUAUGCCAUCAAGCGGGUUCGGAUAGUUUGCUCACAGCUUGUUCAUUCAGGAAACUAAAGGAGAAUUUCUUUAGCGGCUCCUUGGAAAAAUAUGCUGGUGUGUUGUAUGGUUUAGGUGUUGAAAAUGGACAGAAUACCAAUUGAUGAUGAAAAAUUAAAAAAAAAAAAUUAUGAUUAGAAAGAUGCUCAUUCAAUUGUAUGUGUGAUGGGCACCCACAAUGUAUGUACACUUUUGUCCUCUUAAGUUUUUUUGUUUAGUGAAUAUUUUCAUGUUUUUUAUUAUUCUUUUUUGUUUUUGUGACAACUAUCAAUCUUUGUGGCAUGUUACUCGUAUUUUAGUGUCUUUCAAUUUUCAUUUAAUUCAUUUAGUUUCAACUUUCAUGGUGGAUAUAAAAUAUAGAGAGCAAAUGAUGAUACAGUCUCUUUCUUAGUACAAAACGACAAAUUUUUCUGAAAGAACUAUUGAUGCAACUUUCUAGACUUGCUCAAUUCUGCUUUAGGGCCAUGUUUCUUGUUUGUCAUUUCAUUGAUUAUUGGACUCAAUCUUUAUUGUCCCUCUUCCCUUUUUUGUGAAUUGUUACCAACUGCUGUGGCAUGCUGCAUUGCACUGGAGAUUCCGCGAAGUGUUAACCAAUGGAUUUAGCUUCACAUAUAACUGGAGAACAAUUUGGUGGUUGAUGCCAUGUGGAUUUGUUGCUUCUUUAUAAUGAUGGACGUUGUAAUGAACCGUCUACAUGCAGAAGCAUGAAGAGCAAUGUUCUUUUUACUUACCAUUUCAAUGUUUCUGUGGUCUCUUUCUUUCCUCUUGUCAGGAAGUUGCUAUUUUAGUCUGAGUAAUUUAGAAAAUUUCCAGGCUUUGGUGGCUUUUUUUUUAUUUAUUUAUUUUUAUUUUUUAUUACAAGGAUAGCAAUCCACUGAAGUGUUGAUGAAUUGAAGAAAAUGGAAUUUACAAUAUCAAUGCCAAU
rnacentral:misc_RNA from 1 species